GAUGAAGAACGUAGCGAAAUGCGAUAAGUAGUGUGAAUUGCAGAAUUCAGUGAAUCAUCGAAUCUUUGAACGCACAUUGCGCCCCUCGGUAUUCCGUGGGGCAUGCCUGUUCGAGCGUCAUCUACACCCUCAAGCUCUGCUUGGUGUUGGGCGUCUGUCCCGCCUCCGCGCGUGGACUCGCCCCAAAUUCAUUGGCAGCGGUCCUUGCCUCCUCUCGCGCAGCACAUUGCGCUUCUCGAGGGGCUACGGCUCGCGUCCAACAAGCACAUUUACCGUCUUUGACCUCGGAUCAGGUAGGGAUACCCGCUGAACUUAAGCAUAUCAAUAAGCGGAGA
rnacentral:misc_RNA from 1 species